CGCGGCUGGCCGGUAGGCGUGGCAUGCUGGGUCCACUGCACGUAGACAUCAUCACGCUUGAUGCAGUGGGAUGCCGUUGCUGACCUGUGAUGUCAUGGCCAUGGCGGCGGGAGGGAACGCAUGGGGAUCUGAUACAUGAAGUGUAUUAAAAGGUCUCCUGGAGAUUAUACAGAAGGAAGUACCUGAUUUCUUCUCUGGUUACGUGGGCAGUCAUCAGAGACUUGGUUAUGACAUCAUGAUGGGAUGAGGAAAGCUAAUAAAUGGAUGCCUUUGUGCUGGGUCACAAUUGAUCGAAUUGAUGAGCUGUGCA